rnacentral:rRNA from 1 species
UACGAAGGGGGCUAGCGUUGCUCGGAAUUACUGGGCGUAAAGCGCACGUAGGCGGCUUUCUAAGUCGGGGGUGAAAUCCUGGAGCUCAACUCCAGAACUGCCUUCGAUACUGGAGAGCUCGAGUCCGGGAGAGGUGAGUGGAACUGCGAGUGUAGAGGUGAAAUUCGUAGAUAUCGGGAGGAACACCAGUGGCGAAGGCGGCUAUCUGGGCUGAAACUGACGCUGAGGCGCGAAGGCUAGGGUAGCAAACAGG